rnacentral:rRNA from 1 species
CCUACGGGAGGCUGCAGUGAGGAAUAUUGGUCAAUGGGCUUACGCCUGAACCAGCCAAGUCGCGUGAGGGAAGACGGCCCUAUGGGUUGUAAACCUCUUUUGUCAGGGAGCAACGCAGGCGACGUGUAGCCGGACGGAGAGGACCUGAAGAAAAAGAAGCGGCCAACUCCGUGCCAGCAGCCGCGGUAAUACGGAGGAUGCGAGCGUUAUCCGGAUUUAUUGGGUUGACAGGGUGCGUAGGCGGAAUGCCAAGGCAGCGGUAAAAUCGCGGGGCUCAACCUCGCUCCGCCGUUGAAACUGGCGUUCUUGAGUGGGCGAGAAGUAUGCGGACUGCGUGGUGUAGCGG